CCUACGGGUGGCAGCAGUGAGGAAUAUUGGUCAAUGGACGAGAGUCUGAACCAGCCAAGUAGCGUGAAGGAUGACUGCCCUAUGGGUUGUAAACUUCUUUUAUAUGGGAAUAAAACGUUCCACGUGUGGGAUUUUGUAUGUACCCUAUGAAUAAGGAUCGGCUAACUCCGUGCCAGCAGCCGCGGUAAUACGGAGGAUCCGAGCGUUAUCCGGAUUUAUUGGGUUUAAAGGGAGCGUAGGUGGAUUGUUAAGUCAGUUGUGAAAGUUUGGGGCUCAACCGUAAAAUUGCAGUUGAAACUGGCAGUCUUGAGUACAGUAGAGGUGGGCGGAAUUCGUGGUGUAGCGGUGAAAUGCUUAGAUAUCACGAAGAACUCCGAUUGCGAAGGCAGUUCACUGGACUGCAACUGACACUGAGGCUCGAAAGUGUGGGUAUCAAACAGGAUUAGAUACCCCGGUAGUC
rnacentral:rRNA from 1 species